rnacentral:rRNA from 1 species
GACGAACGCUGGCGGCGUGCUUAACACAUGCAAGUCGAACGGAAAGGCCCUGCUUUUGUGGGGUGCUCGAGUGGCGAACGGGUGAGUAACAAGUGAGUAACCUGCCCUUGACUUUGGGAUAACUUCAGGAAACUGGGGCUAAUACCGGAUAGGAGCCCCUGCUGCAUGGUGGGGGUUGGAAAGUUUCGGCGGUCGGGGAUGGACUCGCGGGUUAUCAGUUUGUUGGUGGGGUAGUGGCUUACCAAGGCUUUGACGGGUAGCUGGCCUGAGGGGGUGACCGGCCACAUUGGGACUGAGAUACAGCCCGGACUCCUACGGAAGGGAGCAGUGGGGAAUAUUGCACAAUGGGCGGAAGCCUGAUGCAGCAACGCCGCGUGCGGGAUGACGGCCUUCGGGUUGUAAACCGCUUUCGCCUGUGACGAAGCGUGAGUGACGGUAAUGGGUAAAGAAACACCAGCUAACUACGUG